CUACUAUCUAGCCCCCGAGGCCUUAGAGUGAGUUCUGCAAUGAAGUCAGCUAAGGCUUGAGCUUUGAUAGAUGGACGGGGCUUGAACUCUAUGUCAAAUUCUCCGAGUUCAAUUGUCCACCUUAGUAAUCUUCCUGAGAUGUCUGGUUUCUGAAGAAUGUGUUUUAGAGGCUGAUUGGUGAGCACAACAAUAGGAUGUGACUGAAAAUAUUGCCAAAGUUUUCGUGGCGCUACUAUCAGUGCAAGGGCAAGUUGUUCUGCCAAAGUGUAACUUGUUUCUGUAUCAAGUAGGACUUUGCUUAUGUAAUAAAUGGGUUGCUGGCCCCUGUUAACCUCUUUCACCAAGACACCACUCACUGCAUUCUGAGAUACGGCUAAGUACAAAUACAGAGUAUCUCCGAGCUCGGGUUUGGUGAGGAUAGGAGGAGAUUUCAAUGUCUGCUUGAGCUCUUGAAAAGCCUUCUCACACUCCUCAUUUCAUUCAAAGCAAUGAUUACCCCUGAGGGCUUUGAAGAAGGGGAAGCACCUGUCUGCUGCUAGG
rnacentral:lncRNA from 1 species